rnacentral:rRNA from 1 species
UACGAAGGGUGCAAGCGUUACUCGGAAUUACUGGGCGUAAAGAGCGCGCAGGCGGUCGUUCAAGUCGAGUGUGAAAGCCCCCGGCUCAACUGGGGAGGGUCACUCGAUACUGAUCGACUUGAAGGCAGGAGAGGGAAGCGGAAUUCCCGGUGUAGUGGUGAAAUGCGUAGAUAUCGGGAGGAACACCAGUGGCGAAGGCGGCUUCCUGGCCUGUUUCUUGACGCUGAGGCGCGAAAGCUAGGGGAGCAAACGGG